UACGGGGGGGGCAAGCGUUGUUCGGAAUUACUGGGCGUAAAGGGCGCGUAGGCGGCCUACUAAGUCGGACGUGAAAUCCCUCGGCUCAACCGGGGAACUGCGUCCGAUACUGGAUGGCUUGAAUCCGGGAGAGGGAUGCAGAAUUCCAGGUGUAGCGGUGAAAUGCGUAGAUAUCUGGAGGAAUACCGGUGGCGAAGGCGGCAUCCUGGACCAAUACUGACGCUGAGGAGCGAAAGCCAGGGGAGCAAACGGG
rnacentral:rRNA from 1 species